GGGUCAAUGAUGAGUACUUUAUAUUGCCUUAAGGAACAGUGAUGACUUAAAUAUAAAGCACAAUGACCUGAUGCUGAGGCCC
rnacentral:snoRNA from 1 species